ensembl:lncRNA
CACACACACUCACACACACACACUCACUCACUCACACACACACAAUUCUAAGUUUCAGAAGUAUCUCAAACUCCAUAACCGCUAUUUUAAUGCAGACAAAAGCUCACUGAAGGUGACCCGUGUGUGUGUGUGUGUGUGUGUGUGUACAGCUGGUCAGUGCUGUCGGCUGAUGCGGAUGAAGGACGGCGCGUGUCAGCGGCACGCAGUCCCUCGUGAGGGGAAUACAGUAGCCGCGCGCGCGCGCCGAUGAGCCGGUGUAGCAGUAGCCGCGUGCAGGAACAGCAGCGGAGCGCGCGAGGACUUGAGGCGCGACCCCAAAUCGUUGGCCCGGGGCCAGCACGGCGGGGGUUCACGCGCUGACCGAACACCGGGGGCUCGCGCUCACGCUGCUACCCUUCACCUCGCGCGCGGUCGUUUGUUGUUCGGUCGCUGCUCCUUCUGCGCGCGCUCACUCACUUCCUCACGCGUUUACAUGCGCGAGCUUUCGUUUCUCCUGCCACAAUCUGAGGGACAGACACUCUCUCUUUCUUUCUCUCUGUUCUCUGAGCGAUGGUGUCCUUGAGCGAGUGUUGGCAUUGGCAUGUUGGCGAUUGGCAUGUUUCCCCUCGUCUUUGGCACGGUGUCAGUGUGUCGGGAGUUUCAGUGCCACUGGAGGAUGAUGGAGUAGUUCCUCCUCACACUGCUCAGGUCAGCAGCUCCGCCGGGUUCCACGCCCCGUCUUUAGAGGAACCGUGGAGCUCUGGCUAACGCUGAAGCGGACAGAUGGAUGGAGACGUGCGGAAAGGUCAUGUUCAGGAGUCACCACUGUACAGAAACCCUGCAGCUGCUCCUCCUCCAUGGCUCCUCUCCUGCUCUCAGCAGGACGACAUGGCACCCGACGUGGGGAAUGACCGGCCGUGAUGGAGACGCGAGGGCGAGGGAAGGUCUCUCUCUCUCUCUCUUUGUCUCUCUCUCUGUGUAUAUCUCUCGCUCUCUCCCCGGCCGCGACGCAGAUGUUUUCUCCUGCGGUUGGAGCCAAAUUUCUUCAGCAACCUUCAGCUGCUUGGAGGUCAGGCCUUCAAUAAGACGAGGGACACUUUCAGGAUGCGAGCCCUUCAACUUUCAUACGACGACGUAUUAAUUACGGCGGGCAGACGCCGAGGCCGAGGGGUUGUACAGGAACAUCGUGCCCCGCUGCUCCCAGUCUCACAUUAGCCAAGGAGAAAGCUGUCUCACACUUCAGCACGUUCACAUUGAUCAUUAUUUCCGGAGGGAAGCUCAGAGGAUUAGCGUAGUGCUAACGUUAGAGCAGAAGCUUAGUGGCCUUUCCUCAGAUUUGGCAUGAGGACUGACGGAGACGAAAGCGAGCUGAAAGCAGGGGGCUUACGGCCAGUAAGAGAACUUGAAAGUGGAGUUUGCUCUGUGAAGAAGGGAUGAAGAUUCCGCUCUCACAGCACCGAGGGAGCGCCGGAAACAGAACGUGGCCGGGAAUUGAGACGUUAGCGCAGGGAAAAGGGACCAGACGAUCAAAGGAGCUGCUGUGGUUCACUUUCGGGUUUGAGCUCCUCGCUGGAAGAAGCAAAGGGGACUCAUUAGGGCGGAUCACUGCAAGUGGAAAAGCCAAAUCAGCACAUUAGACUCUGGGAAAGUGUGUGUGUGUGUGUGUGUGUGUGUGUGUGUGUGUGUGUGUGAGAGAGAGAGAGAGAGAGAGAGAGAGAGAGAGAGUCACUGUGUGGCCACUUUUAGCCUUUUUAUUCUAUUUGGGUCAAAAUCAUCCAUUUAAAA